ensembl:lncRNA
AAGGCUGUUUCUAUGUGUGCUUCACUGCAAGUCUAGUUGGCUAUAGAUGUUACCUCCCUGUGCAGGAUGUGGUGAUAGAGAUGGAAUGAAGGGUGCAGGAUGUGCAAUGAAGGAUGAAGCUAUAGUCUAAGGAAAGGAACCUGAGAUUUAUGUUGUCAUGAGGAGGGAAUAGGAACACUCCUGACCUGAUGCUGUGGGACUCUGGAGGUGGAUGCCUAGGGCAACCCACACAAAUAGCUUUCUCAUUAAAUGCAUGUGUGUUCCUUGCUUGUGCAUCAAUUGCAGUUCUGUAAGAGUCACAGGGUGAUUGCAACAGAAUAUUUUUGUGAGUAUUCAUCUAAAAUUUAGUAUGGUUCAUUUGGUGACAGCACCAGUAGCCUUAUUUCUUUUCUGUGAUUGUUUUGCAGAAGAACAAGAGCAAUCAUUUAAAUAAUGAGCUUUAAACUAAUAGUGUAGCUUACCCGUGUUCUGCAAGGUCACUCAUUUGUACUCACCUGACUGGAAAGCAGAAAGAACCAGGAGAGCCUGGUCAAGAUCCACAGAGCCAUUUGUUGAUUUUUUUUCAGCCUUUAUCCACAAAAUACUUCAACGAAUCUUAUAUUUUUUGUCUCCAUUUUGCUAAUUGCAUGUGACUAUGAGUAGGCUGAGUCUUACAGGGUCAAAAGUCAUAAUGUAAUCAUAAUGAUAAUUAAUCUACUAAGGUUAUAUAAGUAUGCAUACAAGGACCAUGUUUAGAAGCACGGUACUUGCAGUCAGAUUUCCAGUGUGAUCAUUGCCAUAGUGAUUUUUAUUUGGUCAUAUAAAUUGUAAAAGCCCCAGACAGAAAUGGAAUGUCUUCAUUUUUAACCUCUGAAGGUAUUUUGAUUGAUUUUCAACACAUUAACUGUUGUGGUUGCGCUUACACUUUUUUUGUCCAUGUUUUGGACUACGAUGUAUUCCAAAACCAUAAAAUUUACUGAAGAAGCUUUAGUUUGGUGUGACCUAAGGGGCAGUCUUACAAAAUGCAUGAAUUCACGUUCCUCAUUACUUAUUAGCCAUUAAUCUAAAAUAUCCCCUUCAGGAUCUAUCUGAUGAAGUGUGAAGUAAAAUGGUAUUAUAUGGUUAUACCUCUUAAUAACUGAAACUUUAAUGUAUACUUUAAAAUGAAAAGAAUAAACAAGA